rnacentral:rRNA from 1 species
GAAAUGAGUGUGCAGAUUGCCGGGGAAUCAGGUUGGGUGCGAGGGUUGUGCGGAGUAGUUGGUCGUAGAGAGCGUGGUGUCGGCCAGACAGGGCCGGUGUUAAAAAUCGAGGCUCAACCUCGAGACGCCGAUGGAAACCGUCUGGCUAGAGUCCGGAAGAGGAGAGUGGAAUGCCUGGUGGAGCGGUUAAAUGCUCAGAUAGCAGGAAGAACACCCGUGGCUAAGGCGGCUCUCUAGUACGGUACUGACGCUGAGACGCGAAAGCGUGGGGAGCGAACAGGAUUAGAUACCCGGGUAGUC